rnacentral:rRNA from 1 species
UCAAGCGAACAAGGGCGCAGGGCGAAUGCCUUGGCACUGGGAGCCGAUGAAAGACGUGAUAAGCUGCGAUAAGCUUCGGGGAGCUGCAAAUAAGCAUUGAUCCGGAGAUUUCUGAAUGAGGAAACUCACCUGGGUUCAUACUCAGGUACGUUAUACUGAACUUUAAAAUAGGUAUAUCGAGGGAACCGCCUGAACUGAAACAUCUAAGUAGGGCGAGGAAGAGACAUCAAACGAGAUUCCGUAAGUAGUGGCGAGCGAACGCGGAAGAGGGCAAACCGAGAGUAGAAAUACUUUCGGGGUACGGACUGCUUUUAGGACUUAAUCUGUUAACCGAACGGCAUGGGAAGGCCGGUCAGAGAGUGUGAGAACCACGUAGGUGAAAACGACAAGAGCCGAGCGAAUUCCAGAGUACGGCCAGACACGUGAAACCUGGUCGGAAUACGGGGGGACCACCCUCCAACCCUAAAUACUACCCAGUGACCGAUAGCGUAUAGUACUGUGAAGGAAAGGUGAAAAGCACCCCGGGAGGGGAGUGAAAAAGAACCUGAAACCCUGUGCCUACAAGCACCUAGAGCGCGUCAAAGCGUGAUAGGGUACUUUUUGUAGAACGGUCCGGCGAGCGAUUGUAUGCAGCAAGGUUAAGGACUUAAGGUCUGGAGCCGAAGCGAAAGCGAGUUUGAAAAGGGCGUUAAGUUGCAUAUAAUGGGCCCGAAACCGGGUGACCUACCCAUGGUCAGGUUGAAGUGGAAGUAAAAUUCCAUGGAGGACCGAACCGACCUCCGUUGAAAAGGCGGCGGAUGAACUGUGGGUAGCGGAGAAAUUCCAAUCGAACCCGGAGAUAGCUGGUUCUCCCCGAAAUAGUUUUAGGACUAGCCUCAAGUUAGAUACCUGGAGGUAAAGCACUGAAUAGCCUAGCGGCCGAGAGGUUAGCGAAGCUUAUCAAACUCAGAAUGCCAGAGUAUUGAUGCUUGGGAGUCAGACAGUGUCAGAUAAAUGUCAUUGUCAAAAGGGAAACAGCCCAGAUCUACAGCUAAGGUCCCAAAGUCAGGUUAAGUGGAAAACGAUGUGAAGAUACGCAGACAACCAGGAUGUUGGCUCAGAAGCAGCCACUCAUUCAAAGAGUGCGUAAUAGCUCACUGGUCGAGCGUCUUUGCGCGGAGAAUUUAACGGGGCUAAACCUGACACCGAAGCUUAGGCAAUACAGCAAUGUAUUGGGUAGGGGAGCGUUGUAUACGCGGUGAAACAGUAGCGUAAGCGGCUGUGGAGUGUAUAGAAGUGAGAAUGCCGGAAUGAGUAGCGCGAAUGCAGUGAGAAUCUGCAUGGCCGAAAGCCUCAGGUUUUUGGAGGAAGGUUCGUCCGCUCCAAGUUAGUCGGGAGCUAAGGUGAGGCCGAAAGGCGUAGCCGAUGCACAGACGGUAGAGAUUCCGUCACCACCAAAAGAGUUAAGCACAGGGACACAUUUGAAGUCUCAGAGCCGGGUGUUGGUUCCGGUAGAGAUCGAGGGAAAUUAGUACCGAAGUCUGAGAUGGAAGAUGGCGAGAAAAGCUGUGUGUAUUUCUGAGGUGCCCGUACCGCAAACCGACACAGGUAGGUAGGAAGAAGAUUCUAAGGCCAACGGGAGAAGGGUUGUUAAGGAACUCGGCAAAUUGACCCCGUAACUUCGGAAGAAGGGGAGCCCCGAAAGGGGCCGCAGUGAAUAGGCCCAAGCAACUGUUUACCAAAAACACAGGUUUAUGCUAAAUCGAAAGAUGACGUAUACGAGCUGACGCCUGCCCGGUGCUGGAAGGUUAAGAGGAGAUGUGCAAGCAUUGAAUCGAAGCCCCAGUGAACGGCGGCCGUAACUAUAACGGUCCUAAGGUAGCGAAAUUCCUUGUCAGGUAAG